rnacentral:rRNA from 1 species
UACGGAGGAUGCAAGCGUUAUCCGGAAUGAUUGGGCGUAAAGCGUCCGCAGGUGGCAAUGUAAGUCUGCUGUCAAAGCGUCUGGCUCAACCAGAUAAAGGCAGUGGAAACUACAUAGCUAGAGUAAGGUAGGGGUAGAGGGAAUUCCUGGUGUAGCGGUGAAAUGCGCAGAUAUCAGGAGGAACACCAAUGGCGAAGGCAGCUCGCUGGGACGGUACUGACGCUGAGGCGCGAAAGCUAGGGGAGCAAACAGG